CUCCACAGUUCAUAACCGUUGGCUGGUUAUGAACCGUUCAUAACGGGCGUUAAUAACCAUACCCUGUUAGACUAAGCAUGGUCCACCCGCGAAUCCUCUACAGAGAUGGCCAAGCGCUGGGGUCGUGGCUGCGUCCUCUAGGCCAGGCCUUGGUGGGCAGCUGUUGACAUGUCCAGAACCCCAGGAAGUGCUGAAGGUACCUGCAGUUCAGGCCCCAUGGAAGCCCAGACCUCCUUCACCCUUCGGGGACACUGAAAUUGGCCAAAUGUUUAGGCCAUGAGGAUGGCUGCUGAGUAAGCCCAUAAUCCCUACAUCGGACACAAGUAAGCAGGUGAAGGCCUACAGGUAGCAGCCUUGUGCAAAGGACCUUCUCACCACAGAUCAGCCAGACCAUCUUCCUCCUUCCAAGUCAUCAAAGAGUUCCAAGCUGGUCACCUGUCCCUUGAUGUUCCCAGGAAACCAGGAAAGAGGACCCCUGCAUUUUAUCUUCCCAUCCAGAGUGGCAGGAUCUCUGCCUGGGAAACAGGCUUCAUUCAGCACAGCUGUGGUAGCAUUAACAAAGCAAAGUGGGCACAUGUAGAAGUUGAAGCUAAAACAUUCAAGAACUCCAGUCUGUUUCUGUGGAUGUUAAGGGGGUGAAGAUAAAACAAUGGAGGUGAUGAGGAGGAAUAACUUGAAGACAGUUUAAAGCCACAGUGAUACAAAGAAUGAAGAGAAGGAAGGUGCUGGAUUUUACUAAGAAAACAGACUGAGUUCAGGAGUCUCACCAGUAGAACUUUAUAGUAUUGCGUUUCGAUUACAUGUGUGUGAAUUUUAAAAACUGAUUACCCUCCAGUAAAAAUGUGGAACCAAUUUGCAUUUGGAUUAAAACAUUAGGUUUGGGGACAAAAGUGGACCCCAUGCUGCCUGAGAUGAAGAGAGAGAGCAGGAUGGCAGAGGAAUCACCAGCUCAAGAAACCCCAAGACUUGGACAGUCUUCCAGCAGAAGAGGCCAGGGUCUCUCAGUGUACUACUCCAAACAGGCCUCUCCUAGAGAUGUAGUCUGGGAAGGUCCAAAACCCACCAGACAGGCACAUCCAGUGGGGAAAAGACUUCCCAUUCCAGUGUGGCCUGCAUCCCUCACCUCUGCUUCCCAGUCUUCUGCUGACCUCAGAGGAGCAGGGUGGCCAUUGCUGAUCUGGGUUAGGGAGAUGCCAGAAACACACCCAGGUUUGAACCACAGGUUAGUGGUACAAAGUCACAGUCCUUGUGCCUUCAGAAAACCCAGAGGCCCCAAAUACGAGUGGGAAGAGAGUUGGGAAAAACUGAACCAGACUCUUCCAAUGGCCAUUAA
rnacentral:lncRNA from 1 species